CUACGGGAGGUAGCAGUGGGGAAUAUUGGACAAUGGGGGAAACCCUGAUCCAGCAAUGCCGCGUGUGUGAAGAAGGCCUGCGGGUUGUAAAGCACUUUCGGUUGGGAGGACUGCUUCUAGCACUAAUAUUGUUGGAAGUUGACGUUACCUUCAGAAGAAGCACCGGCUAACUCCGUGCCAGCAGCCGCGGUAAUACGGAGGGUGCAAGCGUGAAUCGGAAUUACUGGGCGUAAAGCGCGCGUAGGCGGCUAUGUCAGUCGGGUGUGAAAGCCCCGGGCUUAACCUGGGAACUGCAUCCGAUACUGUCUAGCUUGAGUACAGGAGAGGAGAGUGGAAUUCCACAUGUAGCGGUGAAAUGCGUAGAUAUGUGGAGGAACACCAAUGGCGAAGGCAGCUCUCUGGCCUGAUACUGACGCUGAGGUGCGAAAGCGUGGGGAGCAAACAGGAUUAGAUACCCGAGUAGUC
rnacentral:rRNA from 1 species